GUGUCAGCAGCCGCGGUAAUACAGAGGUGGCAAGCGUUGUUCGGAAUUACUGGGCGUAAAGGGCGCGUAGGCGGCCUGACAAGUCCCGUGUGAAAGCCCCCGGCUCAACUGGGGAACUGCGCGGGAAACUAUCGGGCUUGAGUUCGGGAGAGGGAAGCGGAAUUCCGGGUGUAGCGGUGAAAUGCGUAGAUAUCCGGAGGAACACCGGUGGCGAAGGCGGCUUCCUGGACCGACACUGACGCUGAGGCGCGAAAGCUAGGGGAGCAAACGGGAUUAGAUACCCCGGUAGUCCUAGCUGUAAACGAUGAGUGCUGGGUGUAGGAGGUAUCAACCCCUUCUGUGCCGAAGCUAACGCAUUAAGCACUCCGCCUGGGGAGUACGGUCGCAAGGCUGAA
rnacentral:rRNA from 1 species